UACGUCCUACGGGAGGCAGCAGUGAGGAAUAUUGGUCAAUGGGCGGGAGCCUGAACCAGCCACGUCGCGUGAGGGAUGACGGCCCUAUGGGUUGUAGACCUCUUUUGCCGGGGAGCAAAGUGCCGCACGUGUGCGGUUUGGAGAGUACCCGGAGAAAAAGCAUCGGCUAACCCCGUGCCAGCAGCCGCGGUAAUACGGAGGAUGCGAGCGCUAUCCGGAUUUAUUGGGUUUAAAGGGUGCGUAGGCGGAAUGCCAAGUCAGCGGUAAAAUCGCGGGGCUCAACCUCGCUCCGCCGUUGAAACUGG
rnacentral:rRNA from 1 species